CCUGCUCCGGCAAUGAGUUGGCAACGUUCAGUCGAUAGCAAAAGAUGAAACAGUGCUCAUCGCGCAUCAUUUGGUGUCUGCUCAGUGUAAUCGAUCAGCGUCUUAGAAUUGACACCUGUCGAUAUCUAAUCGAGAUAUUAUCGCGCCGCAUUACUGGCGACUAAGAUUAGAGUCGUUGGUUAGACCUGUUCCCACAUCUAUGGAGUUUCAUCUAGACAGUGCAGAAUACUGCCAGGCACAGCACAAAUAAAAAGUAAUCAAAAAGCAAAGAAGGCCGCGAUAGCCUGAGACAACGCGCUGUCAUCCUCUGCCCGGAAGUCAACGGACGCCAAAACUGAUUCGAAGCGUGGAGCGAGUGGAGCAGAGUUCAAGACAGAAAGACACUGUUCAACAGAACGGGAGAGACAGACAGAGAGAGAGAGAGAGAGAGAGCAAGAGAGGGAGUUGAAUUAGGAGCAGUCCCGAGCGAAAGUUUUUAACGUCUGGGUGAACUGAGUUCAUAUCACAAAGAAAUCACAUUUAACCGUAGGGUGCCACAACGAAAAGUGUUUGGAAACAAGAAUUGUAACCAUUGAAGAGGAGCAGCAACUGCGCCUGAAAUAAAUUUAAUUCGAUAGAUUCGCCGAUAGAUUCGAUAUAGCGAAAUUCACAGGGAUUUUUACUAGACGGGGUUGAGGCACAGCAAAAAAUACUUAUAUAUUUUUUGUGAUAACCGUUUUGAAGAUAUCCAAAAUUUGUACUUAAUUAUUGAAUUAUUCAUUUAUACUUAAACAAUUAUUUGGUUUGGUGUAUAAAUCUAAAGCCUGCUAAAGAAAAAAUAAGAAAAAAAAAAGAAACUUUA